rnacentral:rRNA from 1 species
GGAUGCGAUCAUACCAGCACUAAAGCAUCGGAUCCCAUCAGAACUCCGAAGUUAAGCGAGCUUGGGCGAGAGUAGUACUAGGAUGGGUGACCUCCUGGGAAGUCCUCGUGUUGCAUUCC